rnacentral:misc_RNA from 1 species
AAAAUGCGAAACGUAGUGCGAUUUGCAUGAACCUGUGAGUCACUAAAUCUUUGAACGCAACUUGCGCCCCCCGGGGCAUGUUCCUUUGAGUCGGACACUAGUCUUUGUGUUGGACUAUAGCGUGUGCAUUUACUUGUGCGCGCUUCGUCCUAAAUGUGUGAGCAAGCGGGACAGCAACGUCCUCUGAGCCAGAGUUGUGCCCUUGUGGUGCUGCUUUCAGAGGCCCGCGCCGUUCCGGUCUGAUUGAAUAGAGUCUACACUCUAGUCGGUCGUCUGCACUCCGCUCAAAUGGAACAGGACUACCCGCUGGACUUAA